rnacentral:tRNA from 1 species
GAGGGUAUAGCUCAAGUGGUAGAGCACAUGCUUAGCAUGCAUGAAGUCCUGGGUUCAAUCCCCUGUACUGCCA